CCGAAGUGGAGAGUGUCCAUCGGACAAGG
rnacentral:sRNA from 1 species